rnacentral:rRNA from 1 species
ACGGGGCGCAGCAGGCGCGAAACCUUUACAAUACACGAAAGUGUGAUAAGGGAAUCCUAAGUGCUUAUACAAAGUAUAGGCUCUUGCCAAGGGCAAAUACCUUGGAGAAUAAGCGGUGGGUAAGACUGGUGCCAGCCGCCGCGGUAACACCAGCGCCGCUAGUGGGAAUCACAAUUAUUGGGCCUAAAGCGUUCGUAGCCUGUCUGGUAAAUCCUUUGUGAAAUCGCAGAGCUUAACUCUGCGGCGUGCAGGGGACACUGCCAGACUUGGGACCGGGAGGAGCUAGAGGUAUUCUUUGGGGAGCGGUAAAAUGCUAUAAUCCAAAGAGGACCACCUGUGGCGAAGGCGUCUAGCUAGAACGGAUCCGACGGUGAGGGACGAAAGCUAGGGGAGCGAUCCGGAUUAGAUACCCGAGUAGUCCUAGCUGUAAACUCUGCGAGCUAGGUGUUGCAUACUCUUCGCGAAUGUGCAGUAUCGUAGCGAAGGCGAUAAGCUCGCCGCCUGGGAAGUAUA